GUUUUACAGCAACACAUUAACACUCUAGAAACAAAUGUAGACACCAGCACACAAAUGAAACUGAUACAACAGUUGAAGUUGAUGUGCUGAAUUUUAUUCUUUUGCUUGUCUUACACUAAAUAUAGCUUUUGUAACUACAGAGUCAGCAGCACAGAGAAAAAUCAUAUCACUGCUUAUUGAGAUCAAGGAGGAGCAGCAGAGGCAGUGGGAAGUUCUGAAAGAUCUACAGGCUAGGAUUCACGGACAAGUGUGUGAAGAGGAAGAUGAGCCGCUCGACAUCGAUCUGCCGCUACGAACAAUGGAGCAGCUUGAUGUAACUGAACAGCAUUUAGAAGAUACUGAAGCUCAGAGGAGAAUGGUGUCGCACCUCUCAAGGAUGGGUGGAGCCACAGUUGAUGAUGCAGUUCGGCGUCUUAUGCACACAGUUCUGUCUUUCAGUGUGGGCUCAGAGCUCAACUGGGUUGGCAGAGGAC
rnacentral:lncRNA from 1 species